ACGAACGCUGGCGGCGUGCCUAAUACAUGCAAGUAGAACGCUGAAGAGAGGAGCUUGCUCUUCUUGGAUGAGUUGCGAACGGGUGAGUAACGCGUAGGUAACCUGCCUUGUAGCGGGGGAUAACUAUUGGAAACGAUAGCUAAUACCGCAUAACAAUGGAUGACACAUGUCAUUUAUUUGAAAGGGGCAAUUGCUCCACUACAAGAUGGACCUGCGUUGUAUUAGCUAGUAGGUGAGGUAACGGCUCACCUAGGCGACGAUACAUAGCCGACCUGAGAGGGUGAUCGGCCACACUGGGACUGAGACACGGCCCAGACUCCUACGGGAGGCAGCAGUAGGGAAUCUUCGGCAAUGGGGGCAACCCUGACCGAGCAACGCCGCGUGAGUGAAGAAGGUUUUCGGAUCGUAAAGCUCUGUUGUAAGUCAAGAACGAGUGUGAGAGUGGAAAGGUCACACUGUGACGGUAGCUUACCAGAAAGGGACGGCUAACUACGUGCCAGCAGCCGCGGUAAUACGUAGGUCCCGAGCGUUGUCCGGAUUUAUUGGGCGUAAAGCGAGCGCAGGCGGUUUGAUAAGUCUGAAGUUAAAGGCUGUGGCUCAACCAUAGUUCGCUUUGGAAACUGUCAAACUUGAGUGCAGAAGGGGAGAGUGGAAUUCCAUGUGUAGCGGUGAAAUGCGUAGAUAUAUGGAGGAACACCGGUGGCGAAAGCGGCUCUCUGGUCUGUAACUGACGCUGAGGCUCGAAAGCGUGGGGAGCGAACAGGAUUAGAUACCCUGGUAGUCCACGCCGUAAACGAUGAGUGCUAGGUGUUGGAUCCUUUCCGGGAUUCAGUGCCGCAGCUAACGCAUUAAGCACUCCGCCUGGGGAGUACGACCGCAAGGUUGAAACUCAAAGGAAUUGACGGGGGCCCGCACAAGCGGUGGAGCAUGUGGUUUAAUUCGAAGCAACGCGAAGAACCUUACCAGGUCUUGACAUCCCGAUGCUAUUUCUAGAGAUAGAAAGUUACUUCGGUACAUCGGUGACAGGUGGUGCAUGGUUGUCGUCAGCUCGUGUCGUGAGAUGUUGGGUUAAGUCCCGCAACGAGCGCAACCCCUAUUGUUAGUUGCCAUCAUUCAGUUGGGCACUCUAGCGAGACUGCCGGUAAUAAACCGGAGGAAGGUGGGGAUGACGUCAAAUCAUCAUGCCCCUUAUGACCUGGGCUACACACGUGCUACAAUGGUUGGUACAACGAGUUGCGAGUCGGUGACGGCAAGCUAAUCUCUUAAAGCCAAUCUCAGUUCGGAUUGUAGGCUGCAACUCGCCUACAUGAAGUCGGAAUCGCUAGUAAUCGCGGAUCAGCACGCCGCGGUGAAUACGUUCCCGGGCCUUGUACACACCGCCCGUCACACCACGAGAGUUUGUAACACCCGAAGUCGGUGAGGUAACCUUUUGGAGCCAGCCGCCUAAGGUGGGAUAGAUGAUUGGGGUG
rnacentral:rRNA from 1 species